rnacentral:rRNA from 1 species
GACGAACGCUGGCGGCGUGCCUAAUACAUGCAAGUAGAACGCUGAAGAGAGGAGCUUGCUCUUCUUGGAUGAGUUGCGAACGGGUGAGUAACGCGUAGGUAACCUGCCUUGUAGCGGGGGAUAACUAUUGGAAACGAUAGCUAAUACCGCAUAACAAUAGGUGACACAUGUCAUUUAUUUGAAAGGGGCAAUUGCUCCACUACAAGAUGGACCUGCGUCGUAUUAGCUAGUAGGUGAGGUAACGGCUCACCUAGGCGACGAUACAUAGCCGACCUGAGAGGGUGAUCGGCCACACUGGGACUGAGACACGGCCCAGACUCCUACGGGAGGCAGCAGUAGGGAAUCUUCGGCAAUGGGGGCAACCCUGACCGAGCAACGCCGCGUGAGUGAAGAAGGUUUUCGGAUCGUAAAGCUCUGUUGUAAGUCAAGAACGAGUGUGAGAGUGGAAAGUUCACACUGUGACGGUAGCUUACCAGAAAGGGACGGCUAACUACGUG